GAUGAACGCUGGCGGCGUGCCUAAUACAUGCAAGUCGAGCGAACAGACGAGGAGCUUGCUCCUUCGACGUUAGCGGCGGACGGGUGAGUAACACGUAGGUAACCUACCUAUAAGACUGGGAUAACUUCGGGAAACCGGAGCUAAUACCGGAUAAUAUUUCGAACCGCAUGGUUCGAUAGUGAAAGAUGGCUUUGCUAUCACUUAUAGAUGGACCUGCGCCGUAUUAGCUAGUUGGUAAGGUAACGGCUUACCAAGGCAACGAUACGUAGCCGACCUGAGAGGGUGAUCGGCCACACGAGAACUGAGACACGGUCCAGACUCCUACGGGAGGCAGCAGUAGGGAAUCUUCCGCAAUGGGCGAAAGCCUGACGGAGCAACGCCGCGUGAGUGAUGAAGGUCUUCGGAUCGUAAAACUCUGUUAUUAGGGAAAAACAAACGUGUAAGUAACUGUGCACGUCUUGACGGUACCUAAUCAGAAAGCCACGGCUAACUACGUG
rnacentral:rRNA from 1 species